CACACCUGUGUCUAAUUGGACCUCGUCAAUGCCUGUGUUAAACCGCGCUCUGAAGAGCACUCAGUGCUGGAUUAUCUCCUCGCUUGCCUGGUCUUUCUGUUGAAUUCCUCCUGCCUGUUAGCCUGGAAUUACCUUUGGAUUGAACCCUUUGUGGGUUUUCUUGGACUACUUUGGACUGUGCAUUUAGCCCUGGCGUGGCCUCAGCCGUGACGCAUACCUCCAAGGUUUUGGGGAUGGAUUUCUUGUGGAGUGGGUUGUCAAUCACAGCCAGUCGGUCAUUCUCCACCACGAAGAAGCCCUGUUUUUCGGCGCCCUUUGUGUAGAUGUCUGGUGACCACUGAACAAAGAAGGUGUAAAGGUGGUCCACCCUGAGACAAGACAACACAUGCACAGUUAAAAGCCAUAUCUGCCCAAGCAGAAGAUGAUGACCCUAACAUUAAAUCCUGUCGGGGGUUCUCCUGGUAGCUACUGUGACGGUUGAAAUCAUUUAUAGGGUGGCAGUUAACUCCCCACUUCAUUGAAACUUUCACACAUUGCUGCAGAACUAUUAAAGCCUUUUCGUCCCCUGUAGUUAACUAACAGGUAUUUCAACAGUCUCGGCCUUACAUUCAUGAUAUAUUUGAUGUACAGAACUUACUCUCCAACGCUGUAUGCCACACCCAUCUUGAGGAGAUGCAAAGGUAAUCCACAGGUAACUGCAGGAGUCGGGAAAGGAGGAAGAGGAGGAGGAGGAGAUGGAAGAAGAGGAGCAGCAGUGGGUCUGGAGGAUCAGUGCUAUGUUAGCAUGUCCACGCCGUCUCCACUGCUGGCUCUGUGGUUUUAUACCGGCCCGUUGGCUGACAUAAGCCAAACCCGAGCCAAAACCCUCCCCCUAAGGUCCUUCAAGGCCGCACUGCCCGGUUUAUGACAACGUUUCACAAGUGGGUUAGCGAGCCUACGGGGUGACAUAUUAACUUGACCCGCUAGCUUCCCCUGGGCUGGACGGGGCUCGGAGAACCACUGUGUCAUUAAUGUCACAGGGAGGCCAUUGGUUAUCCUGUGAAUGAGGUCUUACCCUGCAGAAAAUACACAUAUUCCCAAGCUCUUAGAUAUACCUAAUAUAUAACAAUGGUGAUUUGAUGUGAUCGUACUGUGUUUUCAUAGUCAUAUUCGUAAUAGAACGACGAUGUUUAAGGGAUAGCUUGAUCCCCCACUCCCCACUGAGCAUUAUAUUAUUCCUCUAACUAUCAUUAUUUAUCUCCCGUUUGUUUGAAGUGGAGAUGAUCCAGUUACAUAAUAUACAUGUUAGUCAACUAGAUCAGUCAUAUCUGUGAAUACAAGUGUUGAUACUAGUGUUUUCCGGUCAACCCAGGUCAACUGCUUGGAGGGCAGCAAUGCUAACCACCUUACGACUGUGUUUAAUGCUUCAGUGAACUACAUCCGUUGUACGUGACCAAUAAAACACUUGAAUUGAAUCAACUUGAUUGUUGCAGGGCAUCAUAGAAUGUUUCUCUCCAUCCUUAGGUUAACUGUUUUUUGUGAAAUCUGCCACAACACAUUUUCACCCAGUAAAACUCUUUU
ensembl:lncRNA